rnacentral:rRNA from 1 species
UACGGGGGGGGCAAGCGUUGUUCGGAAUUACUGGGCGUAAAGGGCUCGUAGGCGGCCAACUAAGUCAGACGUGAAAUCCCUCGGCUUAACCGGGGAACUGCAUCUGAUACUGGAUGGCUUGAGAUUGGGAGAGGGAUGCGGAAUUCCAGGUGUAGCGGUGAAAUGCGUAGAUAUCUGGAGGAACACCGGUGGCGAAGGCGGCAUCCUGGACCAUAACUGACACUGAUAAGCGAAAGCCAGGGGAGCAAACGGG